GAAAUGGCUUUAUUCCUAGAACCUCUGGAAAGGAAUGAGACCCUGUUGGACUUCCAAUGGAAGAAAUGCAAAGAGGAAAGGAGAGGGAGAGAGAGAUAAAAACAUCAAUGAUAAGACAGAAUCAUUGAUCAGCUGCCUUCUGCACGCCCAGCACUGGGGAUCCAGCCCACAACCCAGGCAUGUGUCCUGACCAGAAAUCAAACCGCGGCCUCCUGGUUCAUAGGUCGAUGCUCAACCACUGAGCAACACCGGCCGGCGAAAACAAUUCUCUUUUGAUUGCAUGAAUAAAGAAGUGGAAAACCCA